rnacentral:rRNA from 1 species
AUUGAACGCUGGCGGCAUGCUUUACACAUGCAAGUCGAACGGUAACAGGCCGCAAGGUGCUGACGAGUGGCGAACGGGUGAGUAAUGCAUCGGAACGUGCCCAGUCGUGGGGGAUAACUACUCGAAAGAGCAGCUAAUACCGCAUACGAUCUAUGGAUGAAAGCGGGGGACCGUAAGGCCUCGCGCGAUUGGAGCGGCCGAUGUCAGAUUGGGUAGUUGGUGGGGUAAAGGCUCACCAAGCCAACGAUCUGUAGCUGGUCUGAGAGGACGACCAGCCACACUGGGACUGAGACACGGCCCAGACUCCUACGGGAGGCAGCAGUGGGGAAUUUUGGACAAUGGGCGCAAGCCUGAUCCAGCAAUGCCGCGUGCAGGAAGAAGGCCUUCGGGUUGUAAACUGCUUUUGUACGGAACGAAACGGCUCUGGUUAAUACCCGGGGCUAAUGACGGUACCGUAAGAAUAAGCACCGGCUAACUACGUG